UUUUAUGGAGAGUUUGAUCCUGGCUCAGGAUGAACGCUGGCGGCGUGCCUAAUACAUGCAAGUCGAGCGAACGGACGAGAAGCUUGCUUCUCUGAUGUUAGCGGCGGACGGGUGAGUAACACGUGGAUAACCUACCUAUAAGACUGGGAUAACUUCGGGAAACCGGAGCUAAUACCGGAUAAUAUUUUGAACCGCAUGGUUCAAAAGUGAAAGACGGUCUUGCUGUCACUUAUAGAUGGAUCCGCGCUGCAUUAGCUAGUUGGUAAGGUAACGGCUUACCAAGGCAACGAUGCAUAGCCGACCUGAGAGGGUGAUCGGCCACACUGGAACUGAGACACGGUCCAGACUCCUACGGGA
rnacentral:rRNA from 1 species